rnacentral:tRNA from 3 species
GGCCGACUGGCCCAGUGGUUAAGGCACUUGCUUUACACGCAAGGGAUCGCAGGUUCGAUCCCUGCGUCGGUCA